GCAAACAAAAGUGGAGACAUGGUCCUCCAUGAAAGCCGACUGACGGCAAUUUUGGGAUCCGGGGCUGACCAGUCAUUGACAACGCCGUUCAGGUCGACACUGUUCUGAGCAAGCAGCAGUUCGACGACCUUAACAUGGCCGCGUUCACAGGCAAUUAUCAACGCCGUUUUAUCAUCAGUGCCCAACGCCCGCAACGAAGCGCCGGCGCUUAAUGCUUUUCGUGCAAUAUCUUCAUCUCCAUAUUCUGCAGCCCAGAGCAGAGCGGAGCUAGCGCCGUAUCGAUAUAAGUCAGCAUUGAGAAGAGAGAACAAGCGGCGGUUUGUUUUCAACAAAGAAUUUAGAUCAGCAAGUGGUAAGAUUUUACCAAGGGCCAAAAAUAUUUCGUUAGGUAGGUGGAGAUAUUGCAUCUUUGAACUAUGCGGACAGUGGAAGCGAGGCUGUUGAACGCCGUGCUUGACCCUGUAUAUAAUUGCCAAAAAGAAAAAAGCCAGCGCGUGACGCGAAGGUCAACAUUCCAGUGUCCUGAGCCAGGGAGCAUAAAGUGCAAACGGCGACUAUUGCAAUUUCGUAUUGUCAGACCGGGAUAACGUCCGAAUAUUGCCCCAAAAACUGAGUAUCAAAAGAAUGUUGAAUCAGCUAUUCUAACUCUGAUAAUUGCAUGAUAAAACGACAGUAUUUAUAAGGAAGGGGAUGCUCGAUUAUACGAGCGAGGCAGUGCUCAGGCUUCAAAAUACUAGAGAGAGGUCUCAAAAUACCAGAUAUCUUUCUCAUGAGAUAUUAUCUCCAACACAUAUAUUACUGUUGAUAUAUAUACUCAUAUAUGUAGCGCG
rnacentral:sRNA from 2 species